rnacentral:rRNA from 1 species
CCUACGGGUGGCAGCAGUGAGGAAUAUUGGUCAAUGGCCGGAAGGCUGAACCAGCCAAGCCGCGUGAAGGACGAAGGUGCCAAGCAUUGUAAACUUCUUUUGUCAAGGGACAAAAUCAGGCUCGAGAGCCUGACCGAGGGUACUUGAAGAAAAAGCAUCGGCUAAAUCCGGGCCAGCAGCCGCGGUAAUACGGAGGAUGCGAGCGUGAUCCGGAUUAAUUGGGUUUAAAGGGUGCGUAGGCGGACUGUUAAGUCAGCGGUAAAAGCAUGGGGCUCAAGCCCGGCGAGCCGUUGAAACUGGCUGGUUUGAGAUGUCGAGAGGUAUGCGGAAUGCGCAGUGUAGCGGUGAAAGGCUUAGAUAUUGCGCAGAACUCCGAUUGCGAAGGCAGCAUACCGGCGGCGAUCUGACGCUGAGGCACGAAAGCGUGGGUAUCGAACAGGAUUAGAUACCCUUGUAGUC